CUGGGAACCUUACCUGGCCCAACCUGUGAGAAGACAGAAGAAGAGAAACUUGCCCUUUGUUGAUUCUCAUCGUGCUCCCAUCAAACUGUCAAAGAUAUUGAAGGACAGAGACCUGAACUCUGCCACUGGGCUCAG
rnacentral:lncRNA from 1 species